AUUGAACGCUGGCGGCAUGCCUUACACAUGCAAGUCGAACGGUAACGGGCCUUCGGGUGCCGACGAGUGGCGAACGGGUGAGUAAUGCAUCGGAACGUACCUUUCAGUGGGGGAUAACGUAGCGAAAGUUACGCUAAUACCGCAUAUUCUGUGAGCAGGAAAGCAGGGGAUCGCAAGACCUUGCGCUGAUUGAGCGGCCGAUGUCAGAUUAGCUAGUUGGUGAGGUAAAGGCUCACCAUGGCGACGAUCUGUAGCGGGUCUGAGAGGAUGAUCCGCCACACUGGAACUGAGACACGGUCCAGACUCCUACGGGAGGCAGCAGUGGGGAAUUUUGGACAAUGGGGGCAACCCUGAUCCAGCCAUGCCGCGUGAGUGAAGAAGGCC
rnacentral:rRNA from 1 species